GUGUAGCUCAGUGGUAGAGCGCUUGCCUAGCACGCAUGAGGCCCUGGGUUCAGUCCCCAGCAC
rnacentral:tRNA from 1 species